rnacentral:rRNA from 1 species
AUUGAACGCUGGCGGCAGGCCUAACACAUGCAAGUCGAGCGGAUGAAGGGGCUUGCCCCUGGAUUCAGCGGCGGACGGGUGAGUAAUGCCUAGGAAAUUUCCUGGGUGUGGGGGAUAAAGGUCGGAAACGGGCGCUAAUUCCGGAUAAGGCCCGAGGGAGAAAGUGGGGGGAUUUUGGACCCUACGGCAAUCAGUGGACCUUGGUCGGAUUAGCUAGUUGGUGGGGUAAAGGCCUACCAAGGCGACGAUCCGUAACUGGUCUGAGAGGAUGAUCAGUCACACUGGAACUGAGACACGGUCCAGACUCCUACGGGAGGCAGCAGUGGGGAAUAUUGGACAAUGGGCGAAAGCCUGAUCCAGCCAUGCCGCGUGUGUGAAGAAGGUCUUCGGAUUGUAAAGCACUUUAAGUUGGGAGGAAGGGCAGUAAGUUAAUACCUUGCUGUUUUGACGUUACCAACAGAAUAAGCACCGGCUAACUUCGUG